rnacentral:tRNA from 1 species
GGUGGCUUAGUGGUAGAGCACUUGCCUUGCAUCCAUGAGGCCCUGGGUUCAAUUCCUCAGCACCA